rnacentral:rRNA from 1 species
UACGGAGGGGGCAGGCGUUACUCGGAUUGAUUGGGGGUAAAGGGUGUGUAGGCGGUGAGUCAAGUCGAAUGUGAAAUCCCAUGGCUCAACCAUGGAACUGCAUUCGAAACUAGCUUGCUUGAGUGCCGCAGAGGUAGAUGGAAUUCCCGGUGUAACAGUGAAAUGUGUAGAUAUCGGGAGGAACACCAGGGGCGAAGGCGAUCUACUGGGCGUCCACUGACGCUGAAACACGAGAGCUUGGGGAGCAAACAGG